GUUUGAGUGAUGUCCCCCUCGAGUUCCGUGGGUCUCAUGCGUCUCCAGUCUCUGUUUUGGAUUUUGAUUUUCUUAUUUUGCAUUUUUGAUUUCAACUUUGCUUUUUGGUUGUACUCUGUUUUAGUUCAGAAUUUUUUUGGUAUUCUCAUCUGUUCUCUUGGUUUUUGUUGUUCUCAGCUAUUGUUAAAUACAGCUCACCUUUUGUUCGCUCGAUCCUGCCUCCCCUGAGUCUGCAUUUGGGUUCACCUUUUUGUUUUCCCUUUAAACCUUGAUAGACGCCGGUGUUUUGGAUUAAUAUGUGACCCUGGUGACCGGCAGACAGCUGCUAAGCUGGCGAGCUCUGGAGGGGACAGCCUCGAGCAGAGCCCAGAGCUUCAGGAGGAGUAAACGAACUGAACAGAGGAGAGAAUGGAGUUGUGGGAAAAAAAAAGUCAUUGCAGGACAGCACAAAGAAACAGAAUACGAUGGCUGCCACCUUGUUGCCCAUCUUUGAUGUGUGGUGACUUAGGUGGAGUCAGGACCUGUCAAGAUGGCCACGGACAGUGCCAACCGUCUUUACCAGCUUUAUUUUGUCCCUUUUAGAAACCUGUGGGUGGCGUCAAAGUGUCUAUGCCAGCAUUUAAAUUGACAAUGUGUAUGAGGUGUAUAGCCAUUGAAGGUUGCCAGCUGUUAUCAAGGGCUCAUCCACUCAUUGGCCUGCCUAAUGUGCUGAUCACCCUCACACUGGGAUCAAUACCUACAAUAUAACCAGCAUGCUUGAGGAGACAUCAAACAUAUUUGGUUGUACUGUUUGGAUGUAAUACUCGAAGGUUUGUUGAAAAGAAGUAUAAAAACUAUAUAUGUGCAGAGUUU